rnacentral:lncRNA from 1 species
CAGGCCAGCCAGGGGGUGUUCAUGGAGAUGGCAGAAACACCCCAGCAACAGUUCCAAUGUGCACGCCCAUUUUAAACCUCUGCUCACAUCACAUCUGCUAAAGUACUGCUGGCGAUGGCAAGUUACAUGGCUGAGCUGAAGCAAGGUAUGGAGAAAUCCACCGCUCAAAGUUACCAGGAUAUGACAGAGGACACAGAUGAGGAGAUGCAUUCGGUGAGAUACAGGAAGGAGUGUGGAGCUUCCAUGCUUUCCCAGGGAGUGCCACCCUACAGGAACCUCCACAGAUUCAGCUCUCCAGAAGCUCUCUAAACCUUGUCCUCCUGGGCCUUUUGUGGAGACUGCAUUGGAUAGGCACGAUGGAAGCAUGGACAGAACAAUGGAAGUUGGACAAGAAGGGGAUGAACUAAUGAUAACAGACCAGCAAAACCUGUCUGUUCAGAUUCUUCUUGGCCUCCCUGCAGCCUUUCUUCCUUCAAAGUAUGGGUCAGGGUUCCUUCUGAAAUGAGGAUCUUAUGGCUUACAGUCAGACAAGAUAGGUCAGAGAAUUUCUUUAUGGCCAGCUCCAAGACAGAAAGGUGGAUAAGAUUUGAGUCCUGCCUUGGAGAGGAAAAGAAGUAAAAGGAGGCAGGAGUCAGAGAUUCCAUUUUCUGAGGCCUAAAGCGCCCCUACAUUAUAAAAAAGGCUGUAAAAGGGCUAUGGGAGUUAUGGGCCGGGAACCAUGGAUGAAAACCAUUCUAUGCUGUGUACGUCACAUGGCCCUGCCUCCUUCGUGGUUGUCACCCCUAUGGUGACCUUCCUGGCUCAUAGGUCCUUUGCACUGAUUAUUACCUCUGCCUGGGGCUGCUCUAGCCACAGUUCUGGCAUGACCUGCCCUUCCUGACCUCCCAGUCUCUCUCACAGCACCAGGUUUUUUGUUUUUAUAUUUUUUUAUUUUUUGAGACAGGGUCUCACUUUGCCACCCAUGCUGGAGUGCAGCAGUGCAUUUAUGGUUCAUUUCAGCCUUGACCUCCCGGGCUCAGCUGAUCCUACCACCUCAGUCUCCCAAGUAGCUGGGACUACAGGCAUGCGCCACCAUGUCUGGCUUUUUUUUUUUUUUUAAAUAUAGUAACAAGAUCUCACUGUGUUGCCCAGGCUGGUCUCAAACUCUGGGGCUCAAGUGAUCUGCCUACCUUGGUCUCCCAAACAGCUGAGAUUACAGGCAUGAGCCACUGUGCCUGGCCAACCACUGGGCUUUAUUUCCUUCACAGGACAGCAUUUCCCUGCAUGCUGAGCCUGUGGUUCCAGUCCCUGUGGCCUUGAUUCUGGCAGCUUUUCCUUCUUUGGACUCUGAUUAGGGUCCUUCCCAAGUCUGGUCUCUUGUCUGUGAGUCAAUGCAUUCCAUUUUUGCUUAAGAAUUUGAGGGAGGUGGCUGGGUAUGGUAGCUCACACCUAUAAUCCCAGCACUUUGGGAAGCUGAGGCAGAGGAUUACUUGAGUCCAGGAGCUCGAGAUCAGCCUAGGCAACAUGGCAAAACUCUAUCUCUACAAAAAACACAAAAAAUUAGCCAGGCAUGGUGGCAUGCGCCUGUAGUUCCAGCUACUCAGGAGGCUGAGGUGGGAGGAUAACCUGAACCUGGGAGGUCGAGGCUGCAGUGAGCUGUGAUCAUGCACACUGUACUCCAGCCUGGGUGGCAGGGCGAGACCUUGUGUAAAAAGAAGAACCCAAGGAUUUGAGAGGGUUUUGGUACUUUCAGUAGAAGAAUGUAGCCUAAUCAAAGGCUGAGCCCAGUCUCUACAAAGGACCAACCCCCAAGGAAGGCUGCUCAGAAGCCCAGGUCCUUCCUGUGUAAGAAGCCUUGAUGAAUUUAGCUUAGCAUCAUUAAACUUUCUAUCCUGUGAUGGGAAAAUGUCACUUCCAUCUUCCACCAAGUGUAGAGGGAGGCAGAGCUGACAGUUUAUCUCUCAAAUGCCCUCACCCUGCCCAACUGACAUCAGAGUUUCCCUGAUGCUGGCUUCCUCCCAGACUGAGGCAGAAGCAGAGCAGGACAGAGGAAUUAGGGGAGAGAGGAGUCACCACAUGUGUCUGUGUGAUGUGGAGGUCACUACCAUCCCCAAAGGGUUGAAAGAAGCUUCAGCUCUGCGUAUCCUCUAGCAGCUGAAUAUCAGUUUCAUUUAUUCAGCCUAUUCCUAGCCAGGCCCUGUGCUAGAGCUUAAAUACUAAUAAUGGCUCCCAUUUGGGGAUGGCAGGCUAUGGACGAGCCACAGUGCUGCACACUUGCACACUCUAGAAGCAUUAUGUCAUCUUGUUCUCACAGCAGUUCCGAGACAGGUAUAAUUAUUCCCACCUAACAGAUGAAGAAACAGUCCCAGUGAACAGAAGGGACUUGCCAGGUGGUUUCGACUGCAAAGCUGUGAUCUUUCUUCUGCAAGGAAUUGCCUCUUUCCUAAACCUCCUGGUGCCUGGUUCCCAGCAUGAGAGCUUGUGACUAAAUGUAGGUGACUGGGGCCUACAGCCCUCCUGUGGCAGCCAAUGAGGGAGCAGGAUAAGGACCUGCCAGCUCAGGAACCUGCCCUCAAAGAAUCUGCCCCCAGCUCUUUCACAGCUGUGGGGAGAUACCAGAUACCAAGCCCUGGGAAAUCCCUCGUGGAGGCUUUCCUGGGAAUAAGAUAAAGCGGGAAUCUGGGCUGGGCUGCCCAAGGGGUCUGAUUCCUGCCAGCCAGCCAGUACUUCUUGGAGCAAGACUUCAGGGUCUUCUCCAGAUAGGGACAGGCCUGGUAGCCACCAGCUGCAGUGGGACAAGCAACACGUGUAAAAGGCCCCUGGGGAGAAGGGUCUGGGAAAGGGGUGGGAUGGGCAUCUGUCACCAAGAGAAUGAUUCCUAAGCCUCCCUCCCAGGCCAAGGCAAUGGAAACCUGUGAUGCUGUGGGUCAGGGAUGAGACCACUUUAGUGAAAGGCCUUCAGCCUGACCCCUUGUAGGAGACAGGGAGGCGAAUGGGUGAGCAGACGCCAUGGCCAAGAACUCAGGUUAGAGGCCACGCCUGUAAUCCCAGAACUUUGCGAGGUUGAAGUGGGAGAAUCACUUGAGUCCAGGAAUUUGAGACCAGUGUAGGCAACACAGCAAGCCCCUGUCUCCACAAUACAAAUUUAAAAAGUAGCCAGUUGUGGUGGUGCACACCUGUGGUCCCAGCUACUAGGGAGGCUGAGGCAGGAGGAUCGCUUGAGCCUGGGAGUUCCAGGUUACAGUAAGUGAGCCAGUGAGCUAUGAUUGCACCACUGCACUCCAGCCUGGGCAACAGAGUAAGACCCUGUCUCAAAAAAUAAAAAUAGGUUAGGUGCACUGGCUCACACCUGUAAUCCCAACAUUUUGGGAGGCCAAGGCAGGUCCAUCAUGAGGUCAGGAGUUCAAGACCAACCUGACCAACAUGGUGAAAACCCGUCUCUACUAAAAAUACAAAAAUUAGCCAGGUGUGGUGGCAGGCGCCUGUAAUCCCUGCUACUCAGGAGGCUGAGGCAGGAGAUCGCUUGAACCCAGGAGGAAGGUUGCAGUGAACCAAGAUUGUGCCACUGCACUCCAGCCCACUGGGAGACAGAGCGAGACUCCAUCUCAAAAAUAAAUAAAUAAACAAACAAACAAAAAAUAGAAAGGUGGAUUCCAGCUUUCUUGGUACACAGAUGGAGAAACUGAGGCACGGGUAGGUGAAAUGGGGUCUCACAGCAAGUAAGUGAUAGACCUGCCACCUCCCACGCUUCUGUGUCUUCAGGUAAGAAAGCCUUCAUCUCCUCCCUGCUUUCACACUAAAAAUAGAGCAUUGAAAACAUGAUGGGGAGUCAUGUGGAGUCUGGCUGCUGUGGGGGUCCCAUGUGUCUGAGCCCUUGGGAUGCUAUCUGAGUGUCCCUGGAAAACUGAGUUGGCAUCUGAAGGUGUGGGGAUGGGGUUCGUGCUGGUGCCAGUCACACACCAGCCCACCUCCAAGCACAGAAGGGUGUUCCCCAAACCCUCUGGGCAUGGCGUCUUUGCCUGUGAAUUUCCUCUGAUGAUAUCUUGUUUUGCCAACUAAAUUAAGACUAUGACAGAGAACAGAGACUACCUCUAGCAGUUUAGUUCAAUUAAGAUUUCACAUCAACAAAUUAAAAUGCAUCCUCACCGUCUGCAAAGUAAAUCUGCCUGCGUUUAGGAGGAGGCACUGACAUUUGCUGUUCAGGCGCCUAGCCGAUGUGAGCUGAGUAUCAAAGAGGCCUACCCUUUCUCGGACCAGUUUGGGGCUUCAGAGCCAGGAAUUGUCUCCAGCGACUUACAGCUUCAAGGCCAGCUUCUCAAGCAUGAGAGUGAAGCCCCGUCAGAGCCUGUGAGGAAGUCUUCACUGGUCCUCCCUGAGAUGACAAAAAUGAGAAUAAUGACAUGUUUUCCAGAAAACUAAGUUAAUCCAAAUUAAAGGACCAUCAGCAAAUACUUUUGUGUGUGUGUGAGAUAGAGUCUUGCUCUGGUGUGCAGGCUGGAGGGCAGUGGCGCGAUGUCAGCUCACUGCAACCUCAGUCUCCCGGGUUCAAGCAUUUCUCCUGCCUCACCCACCGAGUAGCUGGAAUUAUAGGUGUCUGCCACCACACCCAGCUAAUUUUUGUGUUUUUAGUAGAGAUGGAGUUUCACCAUGUUAGCCAGGAUAGACUCAAUCUCCUGACCUUGUAAUCUGCCCCUCUUGGCCUCCCAAAAGGCUGGGAUUACAGGCGUGAGCCACUGCACCCAAACUUUGCAAAUACUUUUUGAGUGGUUAAUUUGUCAGUCGCCUUUCAAGUGACUGAGGAGACAGCAAUCAGCAAAACAGACAAACAUUCCUGCUCUCCCGGAGCUUUUGUUCUACAGGAACAGACAAUAAACAAGACAAAUACGUGAAAUAUGCAG